UAGAGUUUGGAUCAUGGCUCAGAUUGAACGCUGGCGGCAGGCCUAACACAUGCAAGUCGAGCGGUAGAAAGUAGCUUGCUACUUUUGAGAGCGGCGGACGGGUGAGUAACGCGUGGGAAUCUACCUGGUAGUGGGGGACAACUUGGGGAAACUCAAGCUAAUACCGCAUACGCCCUACGGGGGAAAGGAGGGGCUCUUCGGACCUUUCGCUAUCAGAUGAGCCUGCGUAGGAUUAGCUAGUUGGUAGGGUAAAGGCCUACCAAGGCGACGAUCCUUAGCUGGUCUGAGAGGAUGAUCAGCCACACUGGGACUGAGACACGGCCCAGACUCCUACGGGAGGCAGCAGUGGGGAAUAUUGGACAAUGGGGGCAACCCUGAUCCAGCCAUGCCGCGUGUGUGAAGAAGGCCUUCGGGUUGUAAAGCACUUUCAGUGGUGAGGAAGGGUGUGCAGUUAAUACCUGCAUACAUUGACGUUAGCCACAGAGAGACCG
rnacentral:rRNA from 1 species